rnacentral:lncRNA from 1 species
AUGUCACCACUGCUUGUGCAAGUAACUGGAACUGAUAUCCUCUGUCCAACGAUGGCUGAUAGAGUGGCAGACUGGGUUCUGAAGGAAAGACGAUGCUCUCAGGACAGAUGUGGGAGUACCUGGCCCAGGGACAUCAUCACAGAUUAUACCACUGAAGCCUUGCCAAUUUCAAGGAAGUGAGCUUUCACAGGAGCAGAGUAUGGGCCCUGCUGCUUCUAGGCCACAUGGCAAAUCCUAUCUACAGUUUGUAUGCUGUAAGUAAAUUCCCAGCAUGUAACUAAGAUAACUAUAGAUGAUGAGUUUCAAUGCUUCUGCAUGACCAUGAAUUAAUUUAUAUGGAUCAUAUGUUAUUAAAACUUAACAGAACUAUUAGCACAACACUCUGUUUAAGGUAAUACCAGUUAAGAUUGUCACCUGGGUCUUCAGCUUGAAUCACGGCAUAAAGUAUUAGUGGAGAUUGAUAUCCAUGAGCUUAACAUAUGGGCCAGCUGCAGGUAUUUAUAUUUUUGGAUGACUCCAGUGAUUUGCAGAUGUGUAAAAUGGUGUUCUAGAG